rfam:Schistosoma mansoni, Puerto Rico, WGS project CABG01000000 data, contig: 0138
AUCCACCGUACGAGUCCUAAAUGGGACGAAACGCGUGUCCUGGAU